UCCCAAGCAGCUGUCUGGUUGGAGACCACUAGACUGUUUAACAAAUCACUUAGACACAGGCCAUUCUCAACUUCUCAAAACACAGAUGGAUUAUUCGGGCUUCAGGGAACCUUUACAUGUCCUUCGACACAGGUGACAUUGUUGGACUCAGUUGCUUCAGCAUUGUUUAUUGAAGAGUCCAUCUUGGCUUGCAUCCCCACAGAAGCAGAC